UGAACGCUGGCGGCAUGCCUAACACAUGCAAGUCGAACGGAAACAGGACGCUGUGAUCUCUUCGGAGUGAACUUGUCGCUGUCGAGUGGCGGACGGGUGAGUAAUGCAUAGGAAAUUGCCUUGAAGUGGGGGAUAGCCCGGAGAAAUCCGGAUUAAUACCGCAUGCGCUCUACGGAGCAAAGUGGGCCUCUGAUUUAAGCUCAUGCUUUGAGAUAUGCCUAUGUCGGAUUAGCUUGUUGGUGGGGUAAAAGCCUACCAAGGCGACGAUCCGUAGCUGGUUUGAGAGGAUGAUCAGCCACACUGGGACUGAGACACGGCCCAGACUCCUACGGGAGGCAGCAGUGGGGAAUAUUGGACAAUGGGCGCAAGCCUGAUCCAGCAAUGCCGCGUGUGUGAAGAAGGCCUGCGGGUUGUAAAGCACUUUUAUCGGGAAAGAAAUGCCAAGGGUUAAUAACCCAGGGUCUUGACGGUACCCGAAGAAUAAGCACCGGCUAACUCA
rnacentral:rRNA from 1 species